CCUACGGGUGGCAGCAGUGAGGAAUAUUGGUCAAUGGGCGCGAGCCUGAACCAGCCAAGUAGCGUGAAGGAUGACUGCCCUACGGGUUGUAAACUUCUUUUAUAAAGGAAUAAAGUGAGGCACGUGUGCCUUUUUGUAUGUACUUUAUGAAUAAGGAUCGGCUAACUCCGUGCCAGCAGCCGCGGUAAUACGGAGGAUCCGAGCGUUAUCCGGAUUUAUUGGGUUUAAAGGGAGCGUAGAUGGGUUGUUAAGUCAGUUGUGAAAGUUUGCGGCUCAACCCGGGCCUUGCAGCGCGAACUGGCGUGCUGGAGUCCGCGGAAGGCAGGCGGAAUUCGUCGUGUAGCGGUGAAAUGCUUAGAUAUGACGAAGAACCCCGAUUGCGAAGGCAGCUUGCUGCAGCGGAACUGACGCUGAGGCUCGAAAGCGCGGGUAUCGAACAGGAUUAGAUACCCCAGUAGUC
rnacentral:rRNA from 1 species